rnacentral:rRNA from 1 species
AUGGCAUCCAACCAGGACCAGGCCAGCUUCCGCGCCGGCGAGGCCAAGGGCCACACCCAGGAGAAGGCUGGGCAGUUGAUGGGCGCGGCCGAGCACAAGGGGCAGGGCGCCACGGAGGCCACCAAGCACAAGGCCGGCGAGGCCACCGACAAGGCGUCCCAGACGGCGCAGGCCGCCAAGGACCGCACCGUCGAGAGCAAGGACCAGACCGGCAGCUUCCUCGGCGAGAAGACGGAGAUGGCCAAGCAGAAGGCCGCGACAGCCAAGGACAAGGCCUCCGAGACCGCGCAGGCCGCCAAGGACCGCACCGUCGAGAGCAAGGACCAGACCGGCAGCUUCCUUGGCGAGAAGACGGAGAUAGCCAAGCAGAAGGCGGCGGAGACCGCCGAGGCGGCCAGGCAGAAGGCGGCGGAGAUCACGCAGUACACGCAAGAGUCCGCCGUCGCCGGCAAGGACAAGACCGGCAGCGUCCUCCAGCAGGCCGGCGAAACUGUGGUGAACGCCGUGGUGGGCGCCAAGGACGCCGUGGCCAACACCCUGGGCAUGGGCGGAGACAACACCAACACCACCGGCACCACAGAGAAGAUCGUCACGGAUCACCACUAG